UACAGAGGGUGCGAGCGUUAAUCGGAAUUACUGGGCGUAAAGCGUGCGUAGACGGUUAUUUAAGUCGGGUGUGAAAGCCCCGGGCUCAACCUGGGAAUUGCAUUCGAGACUGAAUAGCUAGGGUACGGUAGAGGGAAGUGGAAUUUCCGGUGUAGCGGUGAAAUGCGUAGAUAUCUGGAGGAACACCGGUGGCGAAGGCGGCAUCCUGGACCGGUAUUGACGCUGAGGUGCGAAAGCGUGGGGAGCAAACAGG
rnacentral:rRNA from 1 species